UUCGAAGAAGAGGCUCCCCCCACACACUCCAAGUCAAAUGGGAAAGCUUCAUCUGAUAGCCUAAAAACUGGUGGAAAGGCUUCAUCCUUUUCUAAUGGAGGGAAGGCAUUUAGUGCUGGGAAGGGUGGGAAGGGCUCCGCAUCAAAUGCAAAGCCUGCAAUGUCUGAUGCAGAACUAAAGCUUCAGCUUGAUAUGUCUCCUAAUUCUAUAUUGUUAACAAACUGUGAAGCAGCAGAAAUGUUGCAGAAAAUUCAGGCACAUAUGGCUAUCUUAUCAGAGGAUCCGAAGAUAAAAAUUCCUGAGUCGUUUGACAAGGCCUUUCAAUAUGCAAAAGAAGGAAAUCACUUCACCUCUGCGAAGUUGGUGAAAGAAAUCCUGGAACCCCUUAAAGACUAUGGUGUUAAUGAUGGCGAGAUAUGCAUGAUAGCGAACAUUGGGCCUGAGACCAUUGAAGAGGUUUAUGCACUCAUACCGUCUCUCAAGGCCACUAGGUCGAUCAAUGAAGGCAAGAUUCCGGAGGCCCUUACAGCCCUCGCUAACAUAAAAGCCUCCAAGUGA
rnacentral:rRNA from 1 species